CCUACGGAGGCUGCAGUAGGGAAUCUUCCACAAUGGACGAAAGUCUGAUGGAGCAACGCCGCGUGAGUGAAGAAGGGUUUCGGCUCGUAAAGCUCUGUUGGUAGUGAAGAAAGAUAGAGGUAGUAACUGGCCUUUAUUUGACGGUAAUUACUUAGAAAGUCACGGCUAACUACGUGCCAGCAGCCGCGGUAAUACGUAGGUGGCAAGCGUUGUCCGGAUUUAUUUGGCGUAAAGCGAGUGCAGGCGGUUCAAUAAGUCUGAUGUGAAAGCCUUCGGCUCAACCGGAGAAUUGCAUCAGAAACUGGUGAACUUGAGUGCAGAAGAGGAGAGUGGAACUCCAUGUGUAGCGGUGGAAUGCGUAGAUAUAUGGAAGAACACCAGUGGCGAAGGCGGCUCUCUGGUCUGCAACUGACGCUGAGGCUCGAAAGCAUGGGUAGCGAACAGGAUUAGAUACCCCUGUAGUC
rnacentral:rRNA from 1 species